rnacentral:misc_RNA from 1 species
CUCCAGCAGUACAACCCCAACGUUCUCGGUGGUUGUUUCGCGCGCGUCUUAAUGAGAAUAUUGUUGGAUAAAAAAUUUAUCGCUAGUAUUUUAUCUAAAGAUUUUGAAAUAUCCGUACUCUUUUUUUUUUAAGUAAAAUAACGAAUAAUUUUCCCGUGUGUUAAUUAAAAAUCCAAUAGAUCAAUAAAUAAUUAGUGGUGAUUGUUUAAAUAAAGUUUCAAGUGUAAGUGUAGUUUCAAAGUAGUUCCAAAGUUUUAAUUUCUCAUCAACGUUGAUUAAAAUAGAUUAAUCAAACUGUUGCAAUUACAUCCCGUUAAUCAGUGUCACGGAUAUGGAUUAUUUAGGCAAUUACAAGUGAAUUUUAUUACCACUGUAAGAUUAAAGAAUAUCAGUGGUUAUUUUUACUGAAAAUAAAAGCCGCGUUUAAAGUAAAUUUCUGGUGGAAAGUGAUUUUGUGGAAAAGUUUCUAUUUAUUUAUUUAUUUGUUUUUUUUUAUUUGAAUUUUAACCGUGUUUUUUAUGAAUUAAAAAAGUGUGAGUUAUUUAUGUAACAAUAAUAAUUAUUGUUAUUAUUAUUAUAUUUACUUUGGAACGUAUUAUGUUGGACGUUCUGCGGAUUUAUUUUAUCACCAAUGGAUUACUGUGAUUUAUGGCAACAUAUACGUACUUAUAAAUUCAUUCUGUGGUUCUAUUUGUUCUAUUGAAUAUCUGUAUUAUGGAAUUUAUGGAUGAAUUUGUUUAAUUGUGACAAAAUAAAUACAAAUUGAAUAAUUGGUUGUAUAAAAUACAACAGUGCUGAUAUUAUUGUGAUUAUAGUGUUUUUUUUUUAGUGAAUAUCAACUCAAUAAACUGCUGUGUUUAUUCGUACUGGCUGGAUAUCCAUGGGAAACUGAUUUUUUUCUGCGAGUGAAAGGAAAUGGCGGGCUUCUCGGUAUGGGGACAUUUAUUACUGGUGAUCAUUGGAGGUAUCCAGAUACUUAAAGCUGAACCUUCUGCUCUUCCUACUGUCAAAAGUGCUGGUUCAAGCCUUGCAAGUGUCGUAGCAGGUGAUACAAAGCUUGUUCGGUCAUGGGAUAAGCCUUCCUUUGACGACACUUCCCAAAAAAAUGUGACGGCCAUCGUGGGUCAAAGAGCAUCGCUCAGUUGUCACGUUAAAAACCGCGGGAAUCGCACGAUAUCCUGGAUGAGAAUGAAAGACAUCCACAUUCUGACGUCCUCGAUAGUGACGUACACAGGAGACGAAAGAUUUUCAGUAAAGCACCCAGUGGGAAGCGACGAGUGGCGACUAUUAAUCGACUAUGUCCAGCCUAGGGACGCUGGGCUCUACGAAUGCCAAGUUAACACUGAGCCCAAACUUAAGAUGUCCUUUGCGUUGAGGGUCGAAGAGACUUCGCUCCCUGAUGUCAAGUCAAACGCGGUGCGACGGAAAUUUGAAUCAGCGGCCCAGGCGACUAUAUUUGGGGCCGAAGACGUCUACGUAAAAAAAGGCAGCACAAUUAGUCUUACGUGCAAAGUUAACGUCCAUAGUACCCCGCCAAGCAGCGUUACGUGGCAUCACGGUAGCGCUGUCGUUGAUUUUGACAGUCCAAGCGUUCACCAUAGGGGCGGCGUCUCCCUGGAAACGGAGAAGACGGAGAGCGGCACGACGAGCAAACUGCUGGUGACGCAGGCGAGAUCAAGCGACAGCGGAAAUUAUACUUGCAUCCCCAGUAACGCAAACCCUGCGAGCGUAAUGGUCCACGUUCUAAACGGUGAACACCCAGCAGCAAUGCAACACGGCGGAAGUUGUCGAUUAACCCCAACUAUAUUAAUGGCCCUGCUCACACUUUUUACGGCUAACUUACUCAGAUGAGCUAAUAUCCUGGAUAUCUAUAGGCCUAAUUAUAAAUAAAUACAUCAAUUAGUGCACAACUUCACAACU